AUUUGUGCCAGUCGAUUUGCCGGCGUGGGUCAGGUCUUGGAUUCCCUUGUUGAUUGUUGAUUUGAGGAUCGGAGGAAUCUUUGGUACGUUGCUUCACGGAUUCGAUAGGGUUGUGCUACAUCUUCUGGAGACUUGAGAUCAUGGACUUCUUCAUGGUUGCCGAUUGAAGUCUCAGAUUGGAGUAUACUGGAAUCUAGCAGAGAUAUGCUUGCUCUGUGGUGAUUCUAUGGUUCAGCAAAUUUCCUUGUUGCCAGCAGCAAGUUUGAUCCGAACAGAGGAGUUGAUUCCAGUAGGUUGUUCUGUUCUGUGGUGUGUUCCUGUUUCGGCAGCAACCCCAUUCCAAAAGCUCGAUCGAGGACUCUGAUUCCAGACGGGCGUCUCGACCUUGGAUCGCUUG